rnacentral:rRNA from 1 species
GGAAGAAGCGAAAGUGACGGUACCUGCAGAAGAAGCACCGGCUAACUACGUGCCAGCAGCCGCGGUAAUACGUAGGGUGCGAGCGUUAUCCGGAAUUAUUGGGCGUAAAGAGCUCGUAGGCGGUUUGUCGCGUCUGUCGUGAAAGUCCGGGGCUUAACCCCGGAUCUGCGGUGGGUACGGGCAGACUAGAGUGCAGUAGGGGAGACUGGAAUUCCUGGUGUAGCGGUGGAAUGCGCAGAUAUCAGGAGGAACACCGAUGGGCGAAGGCAGGUCUCUGGGCUGUAACUGACGCUGAGGAGCGAAAGCAUGGGGAGCAAACAGGAUUAGAUACCCUGGUAGUCCACGCCGUAAACGAUGUCGACUAGCCGUUGGGAUCCUUGAGAUCUUAGUGGCGCAGCUAACGCAUUAAGUCGACCGCCUGGGGGAUACGGCCGCAAGGUUAAAACUCAAAUGAAUUGACGGGGGCCCGCACAAGCGGUGGAGCAUGUGGUUUAAAUUCGAAGCAACGCGAAGAACCUUACCAGGCCUUGACAUGCAGAGUAACC